rnacentral:tRNA from 1 species
GGUUUCGUGGUGUAGUGGUUAUCACGUCUGCUUAACACGCAGAAGGCCGCGAGUUCGAGCCUCGCCGAAACCU